AGCAGCCGCGGUAAUUCCAGCUCCAAUAGCGUAUAUUAAAGUUGUUGCAGUUAAAAAGCUCGUAGUUGAAUUUCGGGAUCAAUAUGUUGGUCGUGCCUUGGUACGUACUGGCAUUAUCGAUUCCUACCUUCUGAAGAACCUCGAUGUCAUUAAUUUGGUGUCUUGGGGAAUCAGGACUGUUACUUUGAAAAAAUUAGAGUGUUUAAAGCAGGCUCGCGCUUGAAUACAUUAGCAUGGAAUAAUGAAAUAGGACGUUUGAUUCUAUUUUGUUGGUUUCUAGGAUCGACGUAAUGAUUAAUAGGGAUAGUUGGGGGCAUUAGUAUUCAAUUGUCAGAGGUGAAAUUCUUGGAUUUAUUGAAGACUAACUACUGCGAAAGCAUUUGCCAAGGAUGUUUUCAUUAAUCAAGAACGAAAGUUAGGGGAUCGAAGACGAUCAGAUACCGUCGUAGUCUUAACCAUAAACUAUGCCGACUAGGGAUCGGAUGAUGUUAAUUUUUAAUGA
rnacentral:rRNA from 1 species